rnacentral:rRNA from 1 species
GAUGAACGCUGGCGGCGUGCCUAAUACAUGCAAGUCGAGCGAACGGACGAGAAGCUUGCUUCUCUUAUGUUAGCGGCGGACGGGUGAGUAACACGUGGAUAACCUACCUAUAAGACUGGGAUAACUUCGGGAAACCGGAGCUAAUACCGGAUAAUAUUUUGAACCGCAUGGUUCAAAAGUGAAAGACGGUCUUGCUGUCACUUAUAGAUGGAUCCGCGCUGCAUUAGCUAGUUGGUAAGGUAACGGCUUACCAAGGCAACGAUGCAUAGCCGACCUGAGAGGGUGAUCGGCCACACUGGAACUGAGACACGGUCCAGACUCCUACGGGAGGCAGCAGUAGGGAAUCUUCCGCAAUGGGAGAAAGCCUGACGGAGCAACGCCGCGUGAGUGAUGAAGGUCUUCGGAUCGUAAAACUCUGUUAUUAGGGAAGAACAUAUGUGUAAGUAACUGUGCACAUCUUGACGGUACCUAAUCAGAAAGCCACGGCUAACUACGUG